rnacentral:rRNA from 1 species
GAUGAACGCUAGCGGCAGGCUUAAUACAUGCAAGUCGUGGGGCAGCAGGUUUGUAGCAAUACAGAUGCUGGCGACCGGCAAACGGGUGCGGAACACGUACAGAACCUUCCUUUGAGCGGGGAAUAGCCCAGAGAAAUUUGGAUUAAUACCCCAUAGUAUAAUGAAGUGGCAUCACUUUAUUAUUAAAGAUUUAUCACUCGAAGAUGGCUGCGCGGCUGAUUAGGUAGUUGGCGGGGUAAAGGCCCACCAAGCCUGCGAUCAGUAACUGGUGUGAGAGCACGACCAGUCACACGGGCACUGAGACACGGGCCCGACUCCUACGGGAGGCAGCAGUAAGGAAUAUUGGUCGAUGGAGGCAACUCUGAACCAGCCAUGCCGCGUGGAGGAUGAAGGUCCUCUGGAUUGUAAACUUCUUUAUAUGGGACGAAAAAGGCUUUCUAAGUCGUCUGACGGUACCAUAUGAAUAAGCACCGGCUAACUCCGUGCCAGCAGCCG